GGAUAAUGCAAGUGUUUAACAGAUGCUUCACUAUUAAAAUAUUUUCCCCCCAAGUCUCAAAUAUUGAAGAAUCUCUAACCAGGCUCGAAACGCCGGUCUCAGUGACUAUUGAGUUACCCACCAAGUUACCCCGGUUAGAGCUGUUUGGGGUGGCUCACGUUAUUGCGGCAAACUUUGGAGAUGACGGCUGAGUCCUCUGGGCGAACAUGUCAAGCCGAUUGUAAAUGCUGUUAUUUCCACAUCCUUCAGGGACACCAGUCCCAACGAAGACCUUGGGCGAUUUCAAAGUGCGGGCACCUCGAUUCCCCGAAUCUGUAGUGUGGCUGGUAUCGGUGUUUCCCUGGUUUAACUAGCCUGCUUGAAGGCGCAGAUCAUUCAUGGGGAAGUAAAACCGAAACCAGUCCUCUCCACCCCCUGCGGGUCUUCACUUUCCCAGUCUACAUCUGCCUGUGACUCCAGAAAGACAAACUGCAGAUUGGCCAAGCUGCCUGAAGAUCCAGCCCGACAGCGAUGCCUGCCAGCCCGCGUCGCCCACCAGGGCAGCUGCUCUCCCGACUCGCAUGGGGGGCACCACCCCGCCUCGGUGCCCUGGAGCUGAGCGCAGCCGCGGCUCCACGGGGAUCGCCAGGGCCUCAACCCUCGCGGCCGGCGGCGCGCGAGUGUUGCGGGGCAGGGACCAGAGUGCGACCAGAGCGGCCACCCCCGAUUUAGGUCGCCAGCUUUCCAAUCACUGCGAUGGCCACUGGGGCGCCCCUUCCAUCCUGGUUAAAUUAUCAUUGUGAUCCCCAGCCCCCUUCUCGGUUCCCAACACCCAGGAGGCCGGUUCUCCGCCGCUCAGGCCGGGAGAGGUCACAGCUCCGGGCAGGGUGGACCCCCAGCUCCGUCUCGGAGGGCCUUUCGCCGGAGGCGAGCAGGAAGGGGUUAACCAUGAGCCUCCCACCCUCACCUCCCAGCCCCUGGUGCCGGGCGAGCGAAGGCCUCCGCUUCCCUCCUGAGGUCUCAUUAGGAAACCCUCACCGCUAUUUUCAACAUUUCCUCAAUCAAGUGCCUUUAAAUAGAGCUGCACAAACAGAUUGGCGGCAAAAGCGUAGAUCUUGUCACGAUUGAGACCAAUCCAAUAUUUCGGCCUUGUUUGCUUUGCAAUUACGGGUUGGCUUGUGGCUGCGGUGCCACCGGGGCAAAUCUGCAGCCGCUCGCUUUCUCCUCUGCACUCCGGGCGGGUGGAGGAAGCGACCCGCGGAGUCACUGCAGGGAGGAGAGGGGGACGCGCGUGGGGGGAGGCGGCGGAGGGCGGAGGAGCCUCGCUUGCACCCCAGGGCCUCUGGCACGCAGAGCUGUGUUGAAGGACAUACUUUUCAGGUUCCUGACAGUCACUGAGCUAUACGC
rnacentral:antisense_RNA from 1 species